GCCUCGGUAGCCUAAAGGCUUAGGACGCUCGCACAGUAUGCAAGAGAUCCGGGUUCGACUCCCGGCCGAGGUA
rfam:Trachymyrmex cornetzi contig17341, whole genome shotgun sequence.